GAAUACAUAAUGGAUUCCGCAUGGGUUUCAUUAUUAAAGGGAUUCCGGGUAAAGGGAUGGGGGAUGCGUUCCAUUAGGUUGUUGGUGGAGGUAACGGCCCACCAAGCCUUCGAUGGAUAGGGGUUCUGAGAGGAAGGUCCCCCACAUUGGAACUGAGACACGGUCCAAACUCCUACGGGAGGCAGCAGUGAGGAAUAUUGGUCAAUGGGCGCUAGCCUGAACCAGCCAAGA
rnacentral:rRNA from 1 species